rnacentral:misc_RNA from 1 species
AAGAUCUCAUAUUCACACUUACUGAUUAAUAACUCACCAGAUGAACAUUUAUAUAAACACUACUGAGAAUUAUUGUUAAGCCUAUUAUUCAACCAGGUAUUUGUUGCCGAUAAUUUGUUCAAGUAAAUGGUUUUCGCCCUACAAUAGAAGUCUGUGCCAAAGGCAGGCUUCUGAUUCAUUCUCUUUGGUUGCAUCUGUGGCUACCAUAGGACUGAUAGUGUUGCAACCACCAGUCUAUUUUCAAUUUAGCUAGUUAAAUUUAAUUUUCUAUAAGGAAACAAUUUUAUAGAAAUGAUUUUGUAACUUGUAUGGGUUUCUUAAUUUAAACUUCCUUUAUUUGCUCAAGAGACAGAAGGUUUGUUUGUUGUAGGAAGAGGACUACAAGCAAUUUGA